AGCUCCAAUAGCGUAUAUUAAAGUUGUUGCAGUUAAAAAGCUCGUAGUUGAAUUUCGGGGUUAGUAGGUUGGUCAUGCCUCCGGUAUGUACUGAUCUCACUGAUUCCUCCUUCCUUAUGAACCGUAAUGCCAUUAAUUUGGUGUUGCGGGGAAUUUGGACUGUUACUUUGAAAAAAUUAGAGUGUUUAAAGCAGGCUAACGCUUGAAUACAUUAGCAUGGAAUAAUGAAAUAGGACGUUCGAUCUUAUUUUGUUGGUUUCUAGGAUUGACGUAAUGAUUAAUAGGGAUAGUUGGGGGCAUUAGUAUUCAAUUGUCAGAGGUGAAAUUCUUGGAUUUAUUGAAGACUAACUACUGCGAAAGCAUUUGCCAAGGAUGUUUUCAUUAAUCAAGAACGAAAGUUAGGGGAUCGAAGACGAUCAGAUACCGUCGUAGUCUUAACCAUAAACUAUGCGACUAGGGAUCGG
rnacentral:rRNA from 1 species